rnacentral:misc_RNA from 1 species
GGAGGGAUCAUUAAAGAAAUUGCUUUUUUUUCUUUUUACAAACAAACAAUCACAACUAUAAGAAAAAAGGGGGGAAAAAUUGAUAAAAGUGAUUGCCUGAUACUAUUUCUGAUUUGAAAGAAGAAUAUACAAUACAACUUUCAACAACGGAUCUCUUGGCUCUCACAUCGAUGAAGAACAUAGCAAAGUGUGAAAAUUAAUGUGAAUUGCAGAAUUCAGUGAAUCAUUGAGUUUUUGAACGCAUCUUGCACUUUUUGGUAUUCCAAAGAGUAUGCCUGGUUGAGUAAUGUGAAUAAUAAUCAUCAAAUCCUCUUGAUCAAAAAGAGAGAGAUUUGGAAUUGAGUGAUUUUUACCUUGUCAAAGGGUUCACUUGAAAUAAAGAGGGAAAUGAUAGAAAUAUGGGACAAGAGAAUUUGAUUAUAUGGUGAUCAUCAAAAAAGACAAGCGGAAAAAAAGUUCUGGAAAGAAGAAGAGCGAGGAGGAAAAAAGCUUGAUCAUAAUAAUGACUUGAGGAAUGAUAUUCAAAGUCUUGUUUAGAGCUUUUCUUCCAUCUCUGUUUUGUCUGAUUGCUUGAUUCAUUUUCCACUGGCCCUUUUUUUUUCUUUUUCCAAAACUAGGAAAAAAAAGAAAAGAAAUGUGUAUGUGUGGGUGGGGGGGUGGUAUAAGAAAGCACUUUUGUGUCUUUUUCGAUUGUACUGUAACCCCCCUCCAAGCACACAUACAUUUUUUUUUUCAUUUAUAUCAUUCUCAACUCAGGCAAGACUACCCGCUGAAUUUAAGCAUAUAAAUAAGCGGAGGAAAAGAAACUAACAAGGAUUCCCUUAGUAACUGCGAGUGAAGUGGGAAAAGCUCAAUUUUGAAAUCUACCAAGAGUAAUAUUCUUGGUCGAAUUGUAGUUUCGAGAAAGAGUGGCUGAGAAUGGCCGAGUUGGAUGCAAGUUCCUUGGAAUGGGACAUCAGAGAGGGUGACAAUCCCGUCCACCAUCCUUCCGUUGCUUUUCAUAAAGGCCCUCUUUUCAAAGAGUCGAGUUGUUUGGGAUUGCAGCUCAAAAUGGGUGGUAAAUUUCAUCUAAAGCUAAAUAUGGGUGAGAGACCGAUAGCGAACAAGUACCGUGAGGGAAAGAUGAAAAGUACUCUGAAGAGAGAGUCAAAAGUACGUGAAAUUGUUGAAAGGGAAACGCUUGAAACCAGUCAAGGUUUAUUGCAAGUCAGGAAAGAUAUAUAAUUGGACAAGUUGGAUGUUAGGGAUUGUUGUAUUCCUUUUUGUGAACGAGCAACUCUUACGCUGACUUUUUCUGAUUGUACUUUCUGUACGUUUCCGAUAAACAAGUCAACAUCAGUUUGGCUACUUGGGAAAAAGACAAUAGGAUUUGGUCAAACAUUGGAUGGACCUUGUGUUCUCUGAUUUUUGAGCCUACUUGUCAUGAUACCAAGUGCCGGACUGAGGGUAGCAGUAAAGAGCAUUGACUUGGAAUUAGGCAAUCUUGUGGUGUUGUUCCUGAUAAACAGCCUAGCUGAUUGUUGGGAAGAAAUCACAAGUCUUGUCAAAUCCAAGCAGGCUUCUGACUUUGGAUGUUGACGAAAUGGUUUUAAACGACCCGUCUUGAAACACGGACCAAGGAGUCUAACAUGGAUGCAAGUAUUUGGGUGAUUGGAAACCCAGAUGCGUAAUGAAAGUGAAAGAGGUAGGAAGUCUCAAUCCCCACCCCGGGAUUGUGAUGGCACUAUCGACCAAUCUUGUCUAGCUUCGGCUUGAUAGAUUUGAGUAAGAGCAUGUAUGUUGGGACCCGAAAGAUGGUGAACUAUGCCUGAAUAGGGUGAAGUCAGACGAAAGUCUGAUGGAAGCUCGUAGCGAUUCUGACGUGCAAAUCGAUCGUCAAAUUUGGGUAUAGGGGCGAAAGACUAAUCGAACCAUCUAGUAGCUGGUUCCUGC